rnacentral:tRNA from 213 species
GCGGGUGUAGCUCAAUGGUAGAGUUCUGGCCUUCCAAGCCAGCUGUGAGGGUUCGAUCCCCUUCACCCGCUCCA